rnacentral:rRNA from 1 species
GGGUUGUGAGGUUAAGCGACUAAGCGUACACGGUGGAUGCCCUGGCAGUCAGAGGCGAUGAAGGACGUGCUAAUCUGCGAUAAGCGUCGGUAAGGUGAUAUGAACCGUUAUAACCGGCGAUUUCCGAAUGGGGAAACCCAGUGUGUUUCGACACACUAUCAUUAACUGAAUCCAUAGGUUAAUGAGGCGAACCGGGGGAACUGAAACAUCUAAGUACCCCGAGGAAAAGAAAUCAACCGAGAUUCCCCCAGUAGCGGCGAGCGAACGGGGAGCAGCCCAGAGCCUGAAUCAGUGUGUGUGUUAGUGGAAGCGUCUGGAAAGGCGCGCGAUACAGGGUGACAGCCCCGUACACAAAAAUGCACAUGCUGUGAGCUCGAUGAGUAGGGCGGGACACGUGGUAUCCUGUCUGAAUAUGGGGGGACCAUCCUCCAAGGCUAAAUACUCCUGACUGACCGAUAGUGAACCAGUACCGUGAGGGAAAGGCGAAAAGAACCCCGGCGAGGGGAGUGAAAAAGAACCUGAAACCGUGUACGUACAAGCAGUGGGAGCACGCUUAGGCGUGUGACUGCGUACCUUUUGUAUAAUGGGUCAGCGACUUAUAUUCUGUAGCAAGGUUAACCGAAUAGGGGAGCCGAAGGGAAACCGAGUCUUAACUGGGCGUUAAGUUGCAGGGUAUAGACCCGAAACCCGGUGAUCUAGCCAUGGGCAGGUUGAAGGUUGGGUAACACUAACUGGAGGACCGAACCGACUAAUGUUGAAAAAUUAGCGGAUGACUUGUGGCUGGGGGUGAAAGGCCAAUCAAACCGGGAGAUAGCUGGUUCUCCCCGAAAGCUAUUUAGGUAGCGCCUCGUGAAUUCAUCUCCGGGGGUAGAGCACUGUUUCGGCAAGGGGGUCAUCCCGACUUACCAACCCGAUGCAAACUGCGAAUACCGGAGAAUGUUAUCACGGGAGACACACGGCGGGUGCUAACGUCCGUCGUGAAGAGGGAAACAACCCAGACCGCCAGCUAAGGUCCCAAAGUCAUGGUUAAGUGGGAAACGAUGUGGGAAGGCCCAGACAGCCAGGAUGUUGGCUUAGAAGCAGCCAUCAUUUAAAGAAAGCGUAAUAGCUCACUGGUCGAGUCGGCCUGCGCGGAAGAUGUAACGGGGCUAAACCAUGCACCGAAGCUGCGGCAGCGACGCUGAUGCGUUGUUGGGUAGGGGAGCGUUCUGUAAGCCUGCGAAGGUGUGCUGUGAGGCAUGCUGGAGGUAUCAGAAGUGCGAAUGCUGACAUAAGUAACGAUAAAGCGGGUGAAAAGCCCGCUCGCCGGAAGACCAAGGGUUCCUGUCCAACGUUAAUCGGGGCAGGGUGAGUCGACCCCUAAGGCGAGGCCGAAAGGCGUAGUCGAUGGGAAACAGGUUAAUAUUCCUGUACUUGGUGUUACUGCGAAGGGGGGACGGAGAAGGCUAUGUUGGCCGGGCGACGGUUGUCCCGGUUUAAGCGUGUAGGCUGGUUUUCCAGGCAAAUCCGGAAAAUCAAGGCUGAGGCGUGAUGACGAGGCACUACGGUGCUGAAGCAACAAAUGCCCUGCUUCCAGGAAAAGCCUCUAAGCAUCAGGUAACAUCAAAUCGUACCCCAAACCGACACAGGUGGUCAGGUAGAGAAUACCAAGGCGCUUGAGAGAACUCGGGUGAAGGAACUAGGCAAAAUGGUGCCGUAACUUCGGGAGAAGGCACGCUGAUAUGUAGGUGAGGUCCCUCGCGGAUGGAGCUGAAAUCAGUCGAAGAUACCAGCUGGCUGCAACUGUUUAUUAAAAACACAGCACUGUGCAAACACGAAAGUGGACGUAUACGGUGUGACGCCUGCCCGGUGCCGGAAGGUUAAUUGAUGGGGUUAGCGCAAGCGAAGCUCUUGAUCGAAGCCCCGGUAAACGGCGGCCGUAACUAUAACGGUCCUAAGGUAGCGAAAUUCCUUGUCGGGUAAGUUCCGACCUGCACGAAUGGCGUAAUGAUGGCCAGGCUGUCUCCACCCGAGACUCAGUGAAAUUGAACUCGCUGUGAAGAUGCAGUGUACCCGCGGCAAGACGGAAAGACCCCGUGAACCUUUACUAUAGCUUGACACUGAACAUUGAGCCUUGAUGUGUAGGAUAGGUGGGAGGCUUAGAAGUGUGGACGCCAGUCUGCAUGGAGCCGACCUUGAAAUACCACCCUUUAAUGUUUGAUGUUCUAACGUGGACCCGUAAUCCGGGUUG